rnacentral:misc_RNA from 1 species
AAGAACGAUCAGCACCAUUUCUGGGAUCCUUAAUCAGACAUCUCUCACCUUCAGUCUGAUUUCUGAGUGUGAACGAGGUGACUUCUUUGGACUUGAAGCAACGGCGCUGAACUUGCGGACCAAAAGCUUGAAACAUGGUAAAAACAACAAAUAUCCAAUGCCCAGAAUAAAGGGUGCAGCAACAAGCCAUCCCAACAACACAUGAGCAAUACUCAAUAGUACUUCAUGCGAAGCUUGGCCAGUGAAAACUUUCUUCAAAGCAUCAGGUGUAAAUGGGAAACGAGCUCCCCCAGAAAUAGCUUCACCGAAGCGCAAGAAAGGCACCACCAAACUCAAUUCUAUGGGAGUAGCAAUAAAGUUAGCAAGCAUCACUGUUGGAGCAUGACAAAGAGAUCCAAGAAAUGCAAUAGCAAACCCGCAUAGGAAUACAGUGACCCCGCAUAUAGGAAACAAUCCCA